GUCUGAAUAGCUCAGUGGUAAAAGAGCAAUCGCCCGGCAAGCGAAAGACUCGGGUUUGAUUCCCGAUUCAGCG
rnacentral:tRNA from 1 species